AACUUGAUGGUGUUGGCAUUUACGCGAAAGGUCCCUAAAAUGCUCCCACGUGUGAAAAAAUUGUUCACCAUCUAUUUGUGAAAAACUAGUGAUUUAGCCUUCCUAAGCU